CUUCGACUUCAAUUGUUGUGAUUCAUGAAUACUGCAUCUGCAGAAUGCAUAUCUUACAGGUUGUUGGGUAAAUGUCAAGAUAGUAAAAGACCUGGAUGCUUCAUACCUUGUAUGCAGUUGUCUCAUGUAAGAGGGUCUUGUGGAGUUUUCAGAAUAGAGAAAUAAUGGGCAAAAGAUGCAGAAUAAAGGGCAAAAACAUAAAGAAUAGAGAAUAAUGGGCAAAAUAGAUAAAGAAUAGAGAACAAUGGUAUAAAAAAAGAAUGAAGAAAUGAAAUGGUCUAUUUCGCAGAUACUAUAAGCAAUAGGGCCUCUAUAUUUGGUGUAUGCAAUUAUUGUAGUGUACAUGUCUGCCAAGCAGGUUUCAAAGCAGCUGUGUUUGUUUUUGUAAUGCCGAUAUUAUUAAGUGAGCUAGUGGAAAUUGGUAGUAAGAACAGAGCCAACCUAGUCGACUCGGAGUCAGAGUAAUGUGUCUGGGAGGGUGACAUAUCAUCUUGUGAACUAUUACUUAGUGAACCAACACGUUAAAAUCCGGCUCAGCGUGUCCGUCUGUACAAUGCAUGGUUUCAUAUGCAUAUACCAUUAACCUGUUCACAUCCUGAUACUCAUGUAUCUGUAGCUGGACGUUAAACAACAAUUCAUUUAUCUACCUUUGCAGCUGGACGUUAAACACGAAUCCAUCUAUCUACUUGCAGCUGGACGUUAUACAACAAUUCAUCUAUCUAUCUUUGCAGCUAGACUUUAAACACCAAUUCAUCUAUAUUCCUUUUGUUCUUCCACUGAUUGAGAGAGGAGCACUAAGAAACCAGUUUUAACCCAUCAAAUGUAAACAAGCCUGUCCCAACUCAGAAACAUCGUCAGUGAUCUUACUGUGUUGUGUACUUUAAAGACGUAACUGUUAAUGACAGAUUUUUGAAAGUAAAUACUAAAUCUAUUGAAGACUUGUCUAGACUAAGGAUGAUUUAGAACUUGACAUAUGAUAUAAAUACUGCCUAUUGUUGAAGACCAUACGUUAACUUUUAGGUUUCUGAUUCGGUUUUUAUUGUGUUGUUAGAGUGCUGUUUCAUUGACAUAUAUUUCAAACCUUUCACUCAUAUUGACACGUAACACUGGAUUAGUCCUUGGAAAUUACUCUACAAGUUGUGGAUGAAGCUAUACAAAUGAGUCUGCUACCAAACUGCUGAGAAAGGCAAAUGGAAAAGUUAUUUUCAGGCUGAAUUCUUUAAAUUUUAAAUAUAACUUAUGUUGAAUUUAUUACAUAAUGUUUAUAUCCAAUGUUUAUUUUUAACAAUGCACUGGGACAUAUCCAAAUAAUUUAAAUCUAAAUUCUUCGCAGCCCACUAAUUAAUCUAUCAUUUCACUAAAUUGUAAUGCCAAAUACUCUGAUAAAUAUUUAGUUUACGAGAAAUUUUAAAAUUACAUGUUGAUAAACGAGCAUGAGAGAUUAACAAGAUUGCACUGAAAUUCUAUUUUUAUUUAUUAAGUGGAAAGGUUUAGCUUUUUGUUAUUUUGGUAUAUAUAUAUAUAUAUAUAUAUAUAUAUAUAAAUAUAUACAUGUAUAUAUAGUCUUACUGGUUAAGAUUACCGGCCAUCGGUAAGGCAGAUACAAAAUAGAAUUGAAUGCUAUUUUUUGUAAUUUAUACGAUAUGAAAGCAAGUGACCAUCACAUUUUGCACGAAGCGCUGAAAAUGUGAUAUUAGCUUAUAUUUACAUAUUCCUAAAACAAACAAAAAAUAUAGGUAAUUCACGUUUUCAAUCUGAAUUAAAAACUUUAAACGCAAGACUUCGACAAAAAUUGUCUAAUGAGAUGAAAGCAGUACCAUUCCAUGAAAUCAACUAUAAUACGUCAUAUAGCUAAAAUUGGCUUACUGGUAUCAAAGUAGAAAUCUCCACAUCUGAUAAGGGCAUAAACUGCGUCAUCUCCAUAUAUAAACUACCAUUCCUGUAUUCUUCAUAUGUGCCUAAAGCUUAUUUCCAAAGACGACAUUUGUCAUUGCUGGUGUACAAGAUAAAGAGGACAAUUGAUACAUGUAUGGAUGUAAAAUUAAAAGAGGUACUAGAG